UCACAUUGUUUCUAAGUGCCCUAGCCGAGCCCUAGUUCUGGACGAACGUGAGGAUAUAGUCGUCGAACCACUAGAGGAUCAGAUUUAUGAGCCUAAGUUAGAAGAGUUUGAAGACUUGGAGGGCAGUGAGGAUACCUUCUUAGGUUGUAUUCAGGCUAGUCCCAUUAUCCCACAUACACCCAGAGUCGGUGUCGUCCGUUGCACCCUCACCCAGCCUAAGGAUGCCGACGAUUGGCGCCGUCAUGCCAUCUUCCACACCUACAUCAAGAUUAAUAACAAGGGCUGUAAAGUUAUCGUGGAUAGUGGCAGCUGUAUUAAUGCGGUUUCGAAGGCUACUAUAUCCCGUCUAGGGUUGAAGCCAGUUCCUCACCCCCAGCCUUAUAGUGUCUCUUGGGUUGACACCUCCUCUAUAGCUGUCCAGCCUUAUAGUGUCUCUGGGUUGACACCUCCUCUAUAGCUGUUAAGGAGCGUUGUUUAGUCCCUAUCCAGUUCCUGGAGUAUAAGGACCAUAUAUGGUGUGACGUUAUUUCGAUGGACGUCGGACACAUCAUCUUAGGACGACCUUGGCUAUUUGACCUAGAUGUAACCAUAUAUGGUCGAUCCAAUUCCUGCUCCUUCGUGUUUAAUGGAAAGAAAAUUUACCUUAACCCACUACCCCCAAAGCCGGCUGGCUCACUAGAAGCGAAGAAAAGUGUGGAACAAAAGGGGUUGCAUAUCAUUAGUCCUACAGAGUUUGAGCGUACAAUUGUUGGUGACUCAAUUGUGUUCGCCUUAGUAGUCAUGGAGGUUUCAUCUAACUCCACAAGUGAGGAUACUGCGGAAGUCCAAUCGAUCCUUCAGGAGUUUCGAGAUGUCUUUCCGGAGGACCUACCUGAUCAUCUACCUCCGCUAAGAGAUAUUCAACAUGCCAUAGAUUUCGUCCCCGGCGCUUCCCUUCCAAAUUUGCCACAUUAUAGGAUGAAUCCUACCGAGCACGCUGAGCUCCAAAGGCAAGUGAAUGACCUUCUCAACAAAGGAUUCAUUCGUGAGAGUUUAAGCCCAUGUGCUGUCCCCGCCCUAUUGACGCCCAANNNN
rnacentral:lncRNA from 1 species